AGCAGCCGCGGUAAUUCCAGCUCCAAUAGCGUAUAUUAAAGUUGUUGCAGUUAAAAAGCUCGUAGUUGAAUUUCGGGAUCAAUUUAUCGGUCGUGCCAACGGUAUGAACUGGUACAAUUGGUUUCUCCCUUCUUACGAAGCAUGAUGUCAUUAAUUUGGUGUCGUGGGGAAUCAGGACUGUUACUUUGAAAAAAUUAGAGUGUUUAAAGCAAGCAUUAGCUUGAAUACAUUAGCAUGGAAUAAUGAAAUAGGACGUUUGAUCCUAUUUCGUUGGUUUCUAGGAUCGACGUAAUGAUUAAUAGGGAUAGUUGGGGGCAUUAGUAUUCAAUUGUCAGAGGUGAAAUUCUUGAAUUUAUUGAAGACUAACUACUGCGAAAGCAUUUGCCAAGGAUGUUUUCAUUAAUCAAGAACGAAAGUUAGGGGAUCGAAGACGGUCAGAUACCGUCGUAGUCUUAACCAUAAACUAUGCCGACUAGGGAUCGGAUGAUGUUAAUUUUUUAAUGACUCA
rnacentral:rRNA from 1 species